rnacentral:rRNA from 1 species
CCUACGGGAGGCAGCAGUGGGGAAUAUUGGACAAUGGGCGGAAGCCUGAUCCAGCCAUGCCGCGUGUGUGAAGAAGGCCUUUUGGUUGUAAAGCACUUUAAGUCGAGGAGGAAGCUACUAGUAUUAAUACUACUGGAUAGUGGACGUUACUCGCAGAAUAAGCACCGGCUAACUCUGUGCCAGCAGCCGCGGUAAUACAGAGGGUGCGAGCGUUAAUCGGAUUUACUGGGCGUAAAGCGUGCGUAGGCGGCUCGAUUAAGUCGGAUGUGAAAUCCCUGAGCUUAACUUAGGAAUUGCAUUCGAUACUGGUCAGCUAGAGUAUGGGAGAGGAUGGUAGAAUUCCAGGUGUAGCGGUGAAAUGCGUAGAGAUCUGGAGGAAUACCGAUGGCGAAGGCAGCCAUCUGGCCUAAUACUGACGCUGAGGUACGAAAGCAUGGGGAGCAAACAGGAUUAGAUACCCUGGUAGUCCAUGCCGUUAAACGAUGUCUACUAGCCGUUGGGGUCUUUGAGACUUUAGUGGCGCAGCUAACGCGAAUAAGUAGAACCGCCUGGGGAGUACGGUCGCGAAGACUAAAACUCAAAAUUGAAAUUGACGGNNGAGAGNGCAGAGACANAGGGAGAG